rnacentral:rRNA from 1 species
AUUAACCGCGCGGCAUGCCUUACACAUGCAAGUCGAACGGCAGCGCGGGCUUCGGCCUGGCGGCGAGUGGCGGACGGGUGAGUAAUGCAUCGGAACGUGCCCAGGAGUGGGGGAUAACGUAGCGAAAGUUACGCUAAUACCGCAUACGUACUGAGGUAGAAAGCGGGGGAUCGAAAGACCUCGCGCUCAUGGAGCGGCCGAUGUCGGAUUAGCUAGUUGGUGAGGUAAAAGCUCACCAAGGCGACGAUCCGUAGCUGGUCUGAGAGGACGACCAGCCACACUGGGACUGAGACACGGCCCAGACUCCUACGGGAGGCAGCAGUGGGGAAUCUUGGACAAUGGGGGAAACCCUGAUCCAGCAAUGCCGCGUGUGGGAUGAAGGCCCUCGGGUUGUAAACCACUUUUGGCAGGAAAGAAAUCGCCUGUGCUAAUACCAUGGGCGGAUGACGGUACCUGCAGAAUAAGCACCGGCUAACUACGUGCCAGCAGCCGCGGUAAUACGUAGGGUGCGAGCGUUAAUCGGAAUUACUGGGCGUAAAGCGUGCGCAGGCGGUUUUGUAAGACAGAUGUGAAAUCCCCGGGCUUAACCUGGGAACUGCAUUUGUGACUGCAAGACUAGAGUGUGUCAGAGGGAGGUGGAAUUCCGCGUGUAGCAGUGAAAUGCGUAGAGAUGCGGAAGAACACCGAUGGCGAAGGCAGCCUCCUGGGAUAACAC